rnacentral:rRNA from 1 species
ACUCCUACGGGAGGCAGCAGUGGGGAAUAUUGCACAAUGGGGAAACCCUGAUGCAGCCAUGCCGCGUGUGUGAAGAAGGCCUUCGGUUGUAAAGCACUUUCAGUAGGGAGGAAGGUAGUGUAGUUAACACCUGCACUAUUUGACGUUACCUACAGAAGAAGCACCGGCUAACUCCGUGCCAGCAGCCGCGGUAAUACGGAGGGGUGCGAGCGUUAAUCGGAAUUACUGGGCGUAAAGCGCAUGCAGGCGGCCUGUUAAGUCAGAUGUGAAAGCCCGGGGGCUUAACCUCGGAAUUGCAUUUGAAACUAGGCAGGCUAGAGUCUUGUAGAGGGGGUAGGAA